CUGCCUCGACCCCUUUGCGUGGCCAAGCUAUGUACAGCUGGGGAGGCCCAAGCCGUCACAGAGGAGAGCCCAGAGGAUGCACGGGUCAAGGCUCUGGCGAACCCACCUCUGAAGUGGACUCCUGAUGAAGCUGAUUAUAAAUUAAAUCCGUUUCUUCCAUGCAACCCAUGUGCAGCCUCCUUGAGAGACAGGUGUGUUUGACAGCCCCAGCAAAGCUCUCCUACUGCAAGAAAACCACUCUUCCCUGGGGCUGAGGAUGGCAACCAGGAGGAUAAUGAAAACGAUCAAAGAGACAGAGAAGUGGAGGCCUUCCAUUGGUACGAUGUUCCAUUGUUUGCAAUGCUCUCGCACAUUCCGACUCUCACUUUAGCUUACUAACAACCCUGGGAGCUCAUUAUGAUCAUUCUUUUCAGCUUCUGGUUUAAAGAAGAGGAAGCCGGGCUUCCGGGGUAAGUGACUUCAUCCAAAGACACACAACAAGGGAGUGGCUGAGGAGGGAUGAAGGAUGUCUUCCAAUGGCAACUCCAGGCUGGAUUCUCAGAACGAGGAGACCAAGUAGUUGCCCUUUCCUCUCUGGGGUCCCAGAUCAGGGAAACAUUGUCUAGAUGAGUAAAUGGAUGGAUGUUCAGGAGUUGAUACUCAGCAGUGUUUCUGGAAAUGUCUGAGAAGAGAGGGGAGAGAGAAAUGAAAAAGGGCCUUUCUCAGUGCCAAAUAUAUAUGCAGACAGUGGUGGAGGAACCCAUGUACACGUGCCCUGGGACGUCCAUAUAUCGGCCCCGAGUCCUUGCCUCCAGCAUCACUGCCAAGGAUGUCUACGUGAUGUCAGAAAGGUGCCGCUCUCCCAGAUGGAGCACCUAUCCCUUUAAGGCCAGCAGGAGGGCAAAGUGCCCUGGGAGGAGGAAGAAAGGCCUCUUCAGCCCUGAGAAGAAGCCCAAGGGAAGCCAGCUCCCCACCACUCCCCACAACCUAAAGAGAGGGCCACCCACCUGCCACCCACCUAUCAGAUCUGUAUUAUGACCUCAUUUGGUUCCAAGUUACCUCAGGGCCCGGGGUAGGAGUGGAAGACGAGCUGGUCAUUUUUGGAUUGAUCUGGCUGCCCGGCGAUACCUAGUAGAUGGUCAAUGAUUGCUGAUGAAUGAAGGCAUGCAUGAAUGGGGGAAGGCGGGGGAGGGGGCACUGUCCCGCAGCCACACACUCCCCUCCUCCAUCUGCUUCAGCCUCCCUCCUGUGUAGCAUCCUGGCCUCCUGCUGUCUUCUCCUCUGUCUCCUGGCCACAGCUCUGUGGCCUUGGACUUACCUCCAGUGCUCUCCGUAAGUCUUUCCUCCACUGUCCCAGGGCCUCCGUGCAGCUGUGAACAGCAGUGAGGACUUGGUCAGCAUAGGUGCCUGUGUCAUCCGUCCAUAAGCUCGGGAAACUAAUGCCCUUGGGGGCAACGCUCAACCAACGGUAGAGGGGCCAGUGGAUAAGUGCACACCCUCAGGCGGAAGGUUCUGUGUUCUCCCAGAUGGUCUCAAUGGAGUCCAGCCCAGUCGCCCGUAGCAGUGUCCUCCCUAAUGCACCCUCUGUACACCACUUUCCCAGGGGCCUCCCACCUAUCCUACCUAUCAUAAGACCCCUGGGAGGGUUCUCCGUGCGCCCGGCCCUCUGCUGUUUCCUUGGCUCCUGUCCACAGAACGUCCUUCGUUUCUACCCUGCUGAGGGAAAUUCUGCAGCCCGCUGUCCACAGAGGGCAUAGCAACCAUACAGUUGGCACAGCCAGAGGACUGACUCCAUACCGUGGCCUGGGCUAUGCCUUUAUAGACCUCUCCAAGCCUCACCUCUGGGCACGUGGGCAGCACCAGCAACCUGCCUUCAAGGGAAGAGCUAGAUCCUGCAGUCGAAGAGUGAGCACUGGAAUAGGAGUCAGAAGACAUGGGUCUGAGUCUCAGCACCACAAGCCAGCCAUGGACCCAAGCCUCAGGUUUCUUGACUGAGAAAUGGAUAUGAAUAUGGCCCAUCUCACGGGGCUGGUGGGCGUCUCUAGGAGACCUUGUGAGGACAGACUCUGCAGACAGAGGCACUGUUCUUACCCAGACCGGUUCUGCCCCCAUCCCUGGCGGCAGCCAGUGCCUCAACCCUCCCAGACAGCGAAAACCCGACAGCCAAGGUGACAGGCAACCCGGCCGUGUGAUCCGUGUGAUCCUGUCCCAAGACCAGAGGCUUUUUAUAUUUUCACAUUUUGUCCUUCCAGGACAUGUGGUGUUGAGACAAGCAGCCUCCUGACAGGCUCCCUCCCUCCUUCCUGGCCUGUCUGCACAGGACAGCCUGCGGGCCCCCCACACACCAGAAGAGGGAAGAAACCGAGAUGGGGAGGGGGUACACUCUAAAGCCCACACUGGAAUAAGCAGCAUCUGGGUCGCUGCCCUCCCUCAUCGCUGAGCUGGGUGUGGGGGCUCGUGGGGCCCCCGUGGGCCUCUGAUCUUCCACUGGGAGGCCCCCGAGGCCCUGAGCCCGUGUAAAAGGACAGGAUUCCCGGAAGCCCACAUCCCCCAGCCCCGUGCAGCGGGGAGCCAGCCGGUGUUUCUACUUCUCACUUGCCACCCCCACCUCCCCUCAGCUCAGGGCACUCUGCAACCAAGUUAGCAGCCUCAUAUCUUCCAGAGAAGAGAAGGAAGAGAGAAGGAAGAAGAGGUCACUAGAGGUCUGGCUGUGUGGCCAUUUCUAUCACAUGUUCCAGGGGCGCCUGGAUUGGCUCGGGUCAUGAUCUCAUGGUUCGUGGCUUCGAGCCCCGUGUUGGGCUCUGGGCCACAGCUCAGAGCCUGGAGCCUGCUUCGGGUUCUGUGUCUCCCUCUCUCUCUGCCCCUCUCCCACUCGCAUUCUGUCUCUCUCUCUCUCGCUCUUUCUCAAAAAUAAAUAAACAUUCCAUUUGA